rnacentral:rRNA from 1 species
GUGAGGAAUCUUCCACAAUGGGCGAAAGCCUGAUGGAGCAACGCCGCGUGAAGGAUGAAGGUCUUCGGAUUGUAAACUUCUUUUAUGAGUGAAGAAUAUGACGGUAACUCAUGAAUAAGCACCGGCUAACUACGUGCCAGCAGCCGCGGUCAUACGUAGGGUGCAAGCAUUAUCCGGAGUGACUGGGCGUAAAGAGUUGCGUAGGCGGUUAUGUAAGCGAAUAGUGAAACCUGGUGGCUCAACCACACAGACUAUUAUUCGAACUGCAUAACUCGAGAAUGGUAGAGGUAACUGGAAUUUCUUGUGUAGGAGUGAAAUCCGUAGAUAUAAGAAGGAACACCAAUGGCGUAGGCAGGUUACUGGGCCAUUUCUGACGCUAAGGCACGAAAGCGUGGGGAGCGAACCGGAUUAGAUACCCGGGUAGUCC